GAUGAACGCUGGCGGCGUGCCUAAUACAUGCAAGUCGAGCGAACGGACGAUAAUCUUGCUUCUCUGAUGUUAGCGGCGCACGGGUGUGUAACACGUGUAUAACCUACCUAUCAUUCUGGUAUAUUUUCGGGAAACCGGCUCUUAUCCCGUAUAAUAUUUUGCACCGUAUGGUUCAAAAGUAAAUUACGGUCUUUCUGUCACUUAUAGAUGGUUCCGCGCUGCAUUAGCUAGUUGUUAAGGUAACGGCUUACCAAGGCAACGAUGCAUAACCGACCUACGAGGGUGAUCGGCGACACUGGAACGGAGACACGGUCAAGAGGCCUACGGGAGGCAGCAGUAGGGAAUGUGCCGCAAUGGGCGAAAGCAUGACGGAGCAACGCCGCGUGAGUGAUGAAGGUCUUCGGAUCGUAAAACUCUGUUAUUAGGGAAGAACAUAUGUGUAAGUAACUGUGCACAGAGUGACGGUAACUAAUCAGAAAGCCACGGCUAACUACGUG
rnacentral:rRNA from 1 species